GUAAGUUUUUCACAAAGUGUAGAGUAAACACAUAACAAGAGAGGAAUAAGGAAGGUAGGAAGCAGAUGGGUCCAAGCAUGACACCAGGGACCCUGACUCCACUCACUGCAGAACUUCAGGACAGAACUUAGGGGCACUGGAGAACAGGGGCAAGUCUGCUACAGACCGAGCCAAGCAUGGAGAUAACCAAGCCUGGGAGAAGAAGAUAACAGAGGGGCCUCAUCUAGUGUCCCCUCUGUGGGCUUUGUCUGCGUCAAGGUUGUAAAACAAAUAUCCUUGAGCAACAGGUACCUGGGGUCUUCAAGGCACUUUAGAACACUUUGUCCUUAGGCACCUCUUGAAAUCUCCCUGCUGAUGCUGUGCUCCCACUCAGAACGCGUGGGAAUUGAAUGAACAUCUCCUGAGAACCUGAACCGAAAGUCUAGUCUUCAUAGGCCAACUGUCACAAUGUAACCCUGAAACUUACCUGCCAAAGCAAACAUGCUUCACCAGUGCUCUCCUUUUAUAUGCGUCCCAACCCAUGGCAUAGUGCCCUAUCUGUAGAACAAAAGGAUGCUCUAGAGACCAAAGCAUCUAGUGAGAGGAAUGGCCACGCUGGUUUUGUCACUGGCCUUCAACAUGGAGCAUCCAGAAAUGUUAUGGCAAGACACAGCCCUUCUGGUGAGCAUAUUUUUGCCCUUCUCAUUGCCAGUCCCAGGCAAUGUGCCAGCUGGAAAUGCAUUACCGUGUAUGGCUUAAUACAUCAAGCUAGAACUUGCACCUGUUUGCCAGCUUUGCAGCUGUAGUUUCAUACUAUAGAAACAUUGGCCUGAGCAGGAGUUGGGUGGUGAGCAUAGCCAUGGUAUGAUUGAAGGAACUCUGAGCCUUGCAUAGAGAUAAAUGGUUUCACUUGUGCACUUUCACACAUGCAGAUGCACACUUGCACAUAGGUUUACAGAAAAUCUGAGAUCACUAUUAUUUGCUAAUGAGCAGAUUGCUUCCGAAAAGGAUGUAACUCUAUUCUGCAGAAGGUUGCUGAAGUUUGCAGUUGUAGCAGCUAAACAUGAAGAGUAAUGGCGUUUUCAAAGGUUAUCAGCUGAAAAUUUGUGCUCUGUUGUUGUGAUUGUUCAUAUCCCCACAUCUCUGUAAAAACGAAAUAGUCUAGUCCAUGGCACUAGAUCAGAAUCUGUCCCAGUGGUUUCCUUGUUAAGAUUUAUUUGGUAAAGGCUAUGAAAUAUCUUACACAGGAGUAAACCAUACCCAAACACUUUCCCCUCCCUGCUCCUUGGAGAUGCAAUGAGAAGAAUUCCUAAGUAGAGCUAUCGUCCACCGGUGAAUAUAGACUAUUAUGCGCAGCCAGUCAUAUGGGCUUCUCUUCUGGAUUUAAGUGGAUUAAAUAAGGUGUUAUUUUCAAGGAAAUAAUGUUUUUGAAAUUACUGGAACUUAGUGAAAGCUGCUUCUCUGCAGCCGUUCAUUCAAGCUCUCCAUCAAGAAAUGAUGUCUUGUUAUGUUUCAGCUAGUAUAACUGCUGUCUUUUUGGAACAAAGGAGCAAUUAGAAAUCAUUUGUUAUAAAAGCCUCUUUCCUUCUGUUAUAAGAGCCUUUGUCUUCUGCUGACCCUUUUGAAAGUUGCAGUUUUGCAAAAAAAAAAAAAAAAAAAAAAAAAAAGAAACCUUGAGAGGAGGCUUUCUUGUCUUUAAUCUAAGAGCAAAGUAAGAGCCUAAGUAACUGUCUGUGGUACCACUUUAAUCAAGUUAAUGCAGCCUGCUAGACUGCAGGCUUUGGUUAGUACAAAGAGACAAUCACAUGUAAGCUCAUGAGUGGAUACUUUCACAGGGCAUUCGACUAAAAAACAGCUCUAUGAGAUAAGAGAUCAGGUCCAAGAGGAGUCAAUGACAUGGCAUACAGGAGAUUGAUAGUGGCUGGGAAUGAUGCUGUUGUGUUGUGUCAGAGGGCUGUAGUGGCAAAAGCCAGCUGGGCCCUCUGUCUGGCAAAAUUUCCUUUUUAAGGUGCUUGUGAAAAAGGAGUGCACCGUGAUGGACCUUUGUUUAGUUCAAAGGUUUUUACCUCUUUAUUCUAAAGCCCCAUUGUGAAUUCACAGGGCUUAAAAUAUGUAUCACUGUCCCUUUCAUUUUAUCCUUCUGAAAGAAAUCAAAGG
ensembl:lncRNA